rnacentral:misc_RNA from 1 species
GAACUGCGAUACGUAAUGCGAAUUGCAAGACUCAGUGAGACAUCCAAUCUUUGAACGCACAUUGCGCUGCCGGGUUACGCCUGGCAGCACGCCUCUCUCAGUAUCGGUUCACACACUCAGCAGUGCACUCUUGCAGGGCACACGCUGGACACUGAGCGGCUCGCGCACCGCGAGUCGCUUCAAAUGCAGAGAGUUGACCUGCGGCCUGUGGCCGCGCAGCCUCGCGCUGCGCUGCCCGCUCUGCGUGCUGCUCGCCUCGAGUGACGUGACUAGUGACUUCGGUCUCCUACCGUCCCUCUGCGUGCAGCGUGCCAGAGUGUUGCAGACUGUUCGGUCGACGCGCAGCACCCCACCGCUGGCGGCAGCUCCGGCUGUCCUAGCUUCUUGAUCUGAGAUGAAG